UAGUAUAACUACUCAAAUGCUAAUUUAUUUGCUUAUCAAAACAUUAAAAAGUGAUACUUAUCGACUAACCGAAGACAUUCUUCAUUAUAGAGACAAAACACACAAAAGAGUUAACUAAAACUCAAUAAAGGCAACAAUGAACUGAAGGCAGAAGAAAAAACGAAAAAAGUACGCCAACAAAAUUAACAAAAUAUUGAAUUUCAUAGUAAAUAAAUUUUACUAAAAAUUUGUACCGAACACGAAUCAGCAGAACACGAAGAGCAGAGAAAAUUUCACAAGAAAUCAUAAAAAUUUUGAUUGCUUACAUUAAAAAGGGCCGCAACAAGACUCAAGAUUUAGCUGCCUUUGAAAAAGAGUACACUGAAGACACUGGGUAAAAACACGAUAUGGAAAAGACGUCGAAAAAGCAACAAAAAAGAAUAUAUAAACAAAUAAUAAAAUAGUGUACGCCGUUGUUGAAUAAAAGUAAUGAAUUAAGAAGCAUCAUUGUUGAUGGGAACACGGCAUGAAAGCCAAUCAACACCAACAACCAAGUGAUGGGUUCGUAAGAAUUACUGUUUUCGGGCGAUAACUCAUCUGCUAACGAUAAUGGAGUGAGUGAAAUUGGCGCGCCAGUAAACAUCGUGAGUAUGUGCUUCGACCUCUGCGCUUACGGAAGCAUCUUCAUCGCACACUCAACCGACCGCCUGAACACUGACGCACGGGAACCCUUGGAUGCUGGAAGCGAGCAAUAAUGUUCGGCACUCGAGAAAUUAUGCGUGCCUCACUGGCUGAGCGAGCGGCGCGCUGGAUGCAAGACCCGUCUGGCAACCACAAAAUGUCUUCGCUACGCGCACUCCAUACACCACAACUUGAGGGCGUAAGCUUCUCGCCCAUUUAUGCGAUGUUCCAGUAAGAUGUUCUGUUGUCAACGCGGAAGCACUUUUUUCGAGGCAUUCCCGGAAACGCUGUCGUUAUGGCCGAGUUUUGAAUAUUUUCCGUUGAAAACUUCACAACAUCUUUGUAAAAUAUACAUUUUUGGAACAAUAAAAAGUUUGAAUAAAAUAUUUAAUUUGUUGUAUGAAAUAAAA